rnacentral:lncRNA from 1 species
CUGUUUUUUUCCCUUCCUCCCUCUCCCCAGCCCUCCAACACUUGGCCUUGACUUUGAGAUUCCAGACCCUCUGUUCCUCUCUUCCUCUGCUCACUGCAGGCGCUGGUGCUGCCCAGCCCACGCCCUUACGUGCGGAUAGAUGGCGCUGUGAUUCCCGACCACUGGCUGGACCCCAGCGCUGUGUGGGAGGUGAAGUGCGCUGACCUCUCCCUCUCUCCCAUCUACCCUGCUGCGCGGGGCCUGGUGGAUAGUGACAAGGGCAUCUCCCUUCGCUUCCCUCGGUUUAUUCGAGUCCGUGAAGACAAGCAGCCGGAGCAGGCCACCACCAGUGCUCAGGUGGCCUGUUUGUACCGGAAGCAAAGUCAGAUUCAGAACCAACAAGGCGAGGACUCAGGCUCUGACCCUGAAGAUACCUACUAAGCCCUCGCCCUCCUAGGGCCUGGGUACAGGGCAUGAGUUGGACGGACCCCAGGGUUAUUAUUGCCUUUGCUUUUUAGCAAAUCUGCUGUGGCAGGCUGUGGAUUUUGAGAGUCAGGGGAGGGGUGUGUGUGUGAGGGGGUGGCUUACUCCGGAGUCUGGGAUUCAUCCCGUCAUUUCUUUCAAUAAAUAAUUAUUGGAUA